rnacentral:rRNA from 1 species
UUCCGGUUGAUCCUGCCGGACCUGACUGCUAUCGGAUUGAUACUAAGCCAUGCGAGUCAUUGUAGCAAUACAAGGCAGACGGCUCAGUAACGCGUAGUCAACCUAACCUAUGGACGGGAAUAACCUCGGGAAACUGAGAAUAAUGCCCGAUAGAACACUAUACCUGGAAUGGUUUGUGUUCCAAAUGAUUUAUCGCCGUAGGAUGGGACUGCGGCCUAUCAGUCUGUUGGUGAGGUAAUGGCCCACCAAGACUAUUACAGGUACGGGCUCUGAGAGGAGUAGCCCGGAGAUGGGUACUGAGACACGGACCCAGGCCCUAUGGGGCGCAGCAGGCGAGAAAACUUUGCAAUGUGCGAAAACACGACAAGGUUAAUCCGAGUGAUUUGUGCUAAACGAAUCUUUUGUUAGUCCUAGAAACACUAACGAAUAAGGGGUGGGCAAGUUCUGGUGUCAGCCGCCGCGGUAAAACCAGCACCUCAAGUGGUCAGGAUGAUUAUUGGGCCUAAAGCAUCCGUAGCCGGCUCUGUAAGUUUUCGGUUAAAUCUGUACGCUUAACGUACAGGCUGCCGGGAAUACUGCAGAGCUAGGGAGUGGGAGAGGUAGACGGUACUCGGUAGGAAGGGGUAAAAUCCUUUGAUCUAUUGAUGACCACCUGUGGCGAAGGCGGUCUACCAGAACACGUCCGACGGUGAGGGAUGAAAGCUGGGGGAGCAAACCGGAUUAGAUACCCGGGUAGUCCCAGCUGUAAACUAUGCAAACUCAGUGAUGCAUUGACUUGUGGUCAAUGCAGUGCUGCAG